rnacentral:rRNA from 1 species
UACGUAGGGGCGAGCGUUGUCCGGAUUCAUUGGGCGUAAAGCGCUUAAGGCGGUUCGCUAAGUCGGGUGUGAAACCUCCAGGCUCAACCUGGAGACGCCACUCGAUACUGGCGUGACUAGAGUCCGGUAGGGGACCACGGAAUUCCUGGUGUAGCGGUGAAAUGCGCAGAUAUCAGGAGGAACACCAGUGGCGAAGGCGGUGGUCUGGGCCGGAACUGACGCUGUAGAGCGAAAGCGUGGGGAGCGAACAGG